UUGAUGUCACUCCUGUGAUUUAUGUUAUGAUAUAUAAAACUCCAUCUUAGUUAACUAGAGUGGUUUCUACAGCAAUGUUAUCUUGAAUGGUUUGUCGACAUGUUUCACUGAGAAAACUUAAAGCAACUCUGGUAACAACUUCAGAAGUGACCUUCACAACCAAACAUUCCCUGCUCUGAAUCACCUGACAUUCAUUGUCUCACUCACACCAGCUUCUUCAGGUGGCC
rnacentral:lncRNA from 1 species